rnacentral:rRNA from 1 species
GCCUACAUGAAGCUGGAGUUACUAGUAAUCGCAGAUUAGAAUGCUGCGGUGAAUGCGUUCCCGGGUCUUGUACACACCGCCCGUCACACCACGGAAGUUGGGGGCGCCCGAAGCCACUUAGCUAACCCUUUUGGGAAGCGAGUGUCGAAGGUGAAAUCAAUAACUGGGGUGAAGUCGUAACAAGGUAGC